rnacentral:rRNA from 1 species
GUUAGUGGCGGACGGGUGAGUAACGCGUGAGAAUCUGCCCUCAGGAGGGGGAUAACAGUAGGAAACGACUGCUACUACCCCAUAUGCCGAGAGGUGAAACGAAUUUUGCCUGGGGAUGAGCUCGCGUCUGAUUAGCUUGUUGGUGGGGUAAAAGCCUACCAAGGCUUCGAUCAGUAGCUGGUCUGAGAGGACGAUCAGCCACACUGGGACUGAGAUACGGCCCAGACUCCUACGGGAGGCAGCAGUGGGGAAUUUUCCGCAAUGGGCGCAAGCCUGAUUGAGCAACGCCGCGUGAGGGAUGAAGGCCUUUGGGCUGUAAACCUCUUUUCUCCAGGAAGAAGAUCUGACGGUACUUGAGGAAUAAGCCACGGCUAAUUCCGUGCCAGCAGCCG